AGGCGAGGAACAGGGCCACAGAGACGAGUCUUGGUGUGCAAACAUCAAGGGUGAAACGCGGCAACCUCCACCCGGAGCAACACCAAAUAGGCAAGCGAUGACGCGGCCCGUCGAGCUUGCGGGUAGGUGGCUUGAGCUUUGGAGUAAUCCAAGGCCUAGAGGAAUGGCUGUCCACGACAGAACCCGGCUUAUCGGCCAGCUUCAUUU
rnacentral:RNase_P_RNA from 1 species